rnacentral:rRNA from 1 species
UACAUAGGUCCCAAGCGUUGUUCGGAUUCAUUGGGCGUAAAGGGUGCGUAGGUGGCGCGGUAAGUCGGGUGUGAAAUUUCGGAGCUUAACUCCGAAACUGCAUUCGAUACUGCCGUGCUUGAGGACUGGAGAGGAGACUGGAAUUUACGGUGUAGCAGUGAAAUGCGUAGAGAUCGUAAGGAAGACCAGUGGCGAAGGCGGGUCUCUGGACAGUUCCUGACACUGAGGCACGAAGGCCAGGAGAGCAAACGGG